rnacentral:lncRNA from 1 species
GAGGUGGCUCUUUUGAGCAUCUUUUUCAAUAUACCACCUCAUAACUACCAAAAUUUUCAAUUUAUCCACACUUUUUCAACCUAUUUAAUUAUGCAUUUAAUUUUCAUGUGAUAGCUUCACAUACUUACUGGACGACCAGAAUGGUAACUCUUUCCUACAUGUAGUGGUAGUUUUCACACUCGCUUUGGGAUGUAACUCUUUUCACAUUUUUUAUACACUUUGAAGUAUUUUCUUUUUCCAUUAUAUAUAAAACUUCCUAUCAAAUUAUGCAAUCUCUUAUUUGAAAGAAAAUUUGACAGUUUCAAUCUAUUA